rnacentral:rRNA from 1 species
GACGAACGCUGGCGGCGUGCUUAACACAUGCAAGUCGAACGGAAAGGCCCUGCUUUUGUGGGGUGCUCGAGUGGCGAACGGGUGAGUAACACGUGAGUAACCUGCCCUUGACUUUGGGAUAACUUCAGGAAACUGGGGCUAAUACCGGAUAUGAGCUCCUGCUGCAUGGUGUGGGUUGGAAAGUUUCGGCGGUUGUGGAUGGACUCGCGGCUUAUCAGCUUGUUGGUGGGGUAGUGGCUUACCAAGGCUUUGACGGGUAGCCGGCCUGAGCGGGUGACCGGCGACAUUGGGACUGAGAUACGGACCAGACUCCUACGGGAGGCAGCAGGGGGGAAUAUUGCAGAAUGGGCGGAAGCCUGAGGCAGCAACGCCGCGUGCGGGAUGACGGCCUUCGGGUGGUAAACCGCUUUCGCAUGUGACGAAGCGUGAGUGACGGUAAUGGGUAAAGAAGCACCGGCUAACUACGUG